AACGAACGCUGGCGGCAGGCCUAACACAUGCAAGUCGAGCGCGCCCUUCGGGGUGAGCGGCGGACGGGUGAGUCACGCGUGGGAACGUGCAGUUUUCUACGGAAAUGUAUCGGGAAACUGGGAGUAAUACAGUAUAAGUUCUGCGGGGGAAAGAUUGAACGGAAAAGGAUAGGCACGCGAUGGUUUAGGUUGGUGGUGGGGUAAGGGCCUACCACGCGGUCGAUACUUAGCUGGUUUGAGAGGAUGAGCAGCGACACUGGGACUGAGACACGGCCCAGACUCCUACGGGAGGCAGCAGAGGGUAAUCUUAGACAAUGGGGGCAAUGCUGAUCGAGCCAUGCUUCGUGAGUGAUGAAGUCCUUAGGGAUGUAAAGCUCGUUAAGCUGGGAAUGUAAUGACGGUACCAGCAGAAGAAGCCCCGGCUAACUCCGUG
rnacentral:rRNA from 1 species